rnacentral:rRNA from 1 species
UACGUAGGGUGCGAGCGUUAAUCGGAUUAACGGGGCGUAAAGCGUGCGCAGGCGGCCCGUUAAGACAGGUGUGAAAUCCCUGGGCUCAACCUAGGAAUUGCGCUUGUGACUGGCGGGCUCGAGUACGGUAGAGGGGGGUGGAAUUCCUGGUGUAGCAGUGAAAUGCGUAGAGAUCAGGAGGAACACCGAUGGCGAAGGCAGCCCCCUGGGCCUGUACUGACGCUCAUGCACGAAAGCGUGGGGAGCAAACAGG